rnacentral:rRNA from 1 species
UACGGAGGUGGCGAGCGUUGUUCGGAAUCACUGGGCGUAAAGGGCGCGUAGGCGGGGUCGGAAGUCGGGUGUGAAAGCCCCGGGCUCAACCCGGGAACGGCGCCCGAGACUCUGGCUCUCGAGUCCCGGAGAGGCGGGUGGAAUUCCUGGUGUAGCGGUGAAAUGUGUAGAGAUCAGGAGGAACACCGGUGGCGUAGGCGGCCCGCUGGACGGAGACUGACGCUGAGGCGCGAAAGCGUGGGGAGCGAUCCGG